rnacentral:rRNA from 1 species
AGGACGAACGCUGGCGGCGCGCCUAACACAUGCAAGUCGAACGAGCGAGAGAGAGCUUGCUUUCUCAAGCGAGUGGCGAACGGGUGAGUAACGCGUGAGGAACCUGCCUCAAAGAGGGGGACAACAGUUGGAAACGACUGCUAAUACCGCAUAAGCCCACGACCCGGCAUCGGGUAGAGGGAAAAGGAGCAAUCCGCUUUGAGAUGGCCUCGCGUCCGAUUAGCUGGUUGGUGAGGUAACGGCCCACCAAGGCGACGAUCGGUAGCCGGACUGAGAGGUUGAACGGCCACAUUGGGACUGAGACACGGCCCAGACUCCUACGGGAGGCAGCAGUGGGGAAUAUUGCACAAUGGGGGAAACCCUGAUGCAGCGACGCCGCGUGGAGGAAGAAGGUCUUCGGAUUGUAAACUCCUGUUGUUGAGGAAGAUAAUGACGGUACUCAACAAGGAAGUGACGGCUAACUACGUGCCAGCAGCCGCGGUAAAACGUAGGUCACAAGCGUUGUCCG